CACGUAGGGCGCAAGCGUUGUCCGGAAUUAUUGGGCGUAAAGAGCUCGUAGGCGGUCUGUUGCGUCCGCUGUGAAAACUCGGGGCUUAACCCCGAGCCUGCAGUGGAUACGGGCAGACUAGAGGUAGGUAGGGGAGAAUGGAAUUCCACGUGUAGCGGUGAAAUGCGUAGAGAUGUGGAGGAACACCAGUGGCGAAGGCGACUCUUUGGCCUGUAACUGACACUGAGGCGCGAAAGCGUGGGGAGCGAACGGG
rnacentral:rRNA from 1 species